rnacentral:rRNA from 1 species
UACAGAGGAGCCAAGCGUUGUCCGGAUUGACUGGGCGUAAAGCGCACGCAGGCGGACGCGCGCGUGGGGUGUGAAAUCUGGCCGCUUAACGGCCAGGCGCCAUCCCAUACGGCGUGUCUGGAGUGAUGCAGAGGUCGGUGGAAUUGCCGGUGUAGUGGUGAAAUGCGUAGAGAUGUGGAGGAACACCGAUGGCGAAGGCAGCCUUCUGGGCCAACACUGACGCUCAUGCACGAAAGCGUGGGGAGCAAACAGG